rnacentral:tRNA from 1 species
UCGAGGAUCGGCUAACGGCAGGCCACUUGGCUUUGAACCAAGAGAUGAAGGUUCAAAUCCUUCUCCCUGAG